GGACGAUCCGAUCUCUGUCCAGCUGCGACCCAAUGGGAGUCCCCGCCAGGAGACACAACCGGCGGCUCUCCGGGGAUUUAUAAGGUCCCGCCAGCAACCGCGCGUUGGGAUUCGUGGUGUUGCUGGAGACCCGUAUGGUGUCUGCAGUCAGCGACCCUCCAACUUCAACUACUGGAUCAACCAUGUGUGAGUGCAUCUCCAUCCAUGUGGGCCAGGCCGGAGUGCAGAUGGGCAAUGCCUGCUGGGAGCUGUACUGCCUGGAGCACGACAUCCAGCCCAGUGGCACCAUGCCCAGCCACAAGGCCCUGGGGAGCAGUGAUAACUCCUUCAACACCUUCUUCAGGGAGACCCAGCCUGGCAGGCAUGUGUCCUGGGCUGUCUGUGGACCUGGAGCCUGCUGUCAUAGGUUGGCAUCAACUACCAGUCCCCCACAGUGGUGCCCGGGGGUGCUGUAGCCAAGGUGCAGCGGGCAGUCUGCGUGCUAAACAAUACCACAGCCAUCACUGAGGCCUGGGCCCGCCUCAACCAAAAGUUUGACCUGAUGUAUGCCAAGCGGGCAUUUAUGCACUGUUAUGUGGACAGGGGCAUGGAGGAAGGUGAGCUCUCUGGGCCUGAGAGGACCUGGCUGCCCUGGAGAAGGAUUAUGAAGUAGGCACAGAAUCUUUGGACAGCGAGGAUGAGCAUGAGGAGUUCUAGGGGUCCUGGCACCUGUAACACCUGGUCUCUCGCACCACAGUUGUGUGUGUAUCUCAUUCCACUGUUCCCUGACCCCCUACAAAUACAAUGGAUAUUGCAAGCGAUGUGGAACUCUGUGGAAUUCUGCCCAGGCAGUGGGCCAUCUUUAAGCUUCUCAGCUUCCUUUAAUGUCUUUCUAAGUUGAAGGGCAGGGUGGCCUCUGCUGCUAGGGCCUCCAGCCAGGGCAUGUCUAGUGGAGGAUUGGCACUGCUUCCCUCCUGUGUGAGCGGACCACCCUGACACGCCUUCGCCGGUUCAGCACCCAGGCUGUGGUACUUCAACUUCACAGGGGUCCCUAUGUGUACCCCCUUGUCUCCAGCCCAGUUCGAGGAAGAGUAAGCUUUCUAGAGAUUCUAAUGAAAGCUGCCGAAAGUUUAUCUGCCCCCAGCAUUCCGGGGCAGAAACUGCAGGACUUCAGUGCCACAAGGAAUCAAGCACGUCUAACCACUCCUCCCGCCUGAUGGCCAAGAGAGGGCAGUAGAGGUUGCCUUCACAGGCCUCUCCGCAGCAGCCAUCUUAGACUUGAGGGCUCUGUCCUGAUGCCUUACAAACGCAGGGUCCAAGAAAUAGGAUUCCAAAAAAAACAGUGGUCUCCAGCCUGGGACUAUGAAGAUACGAAACAACUUACUUUAAGGGACAGGGUCUCGCUGUGUUGCAUGCGCUGGAAUGUAGUGGUUAUUCUCACAGAUGUGGUCACAGCAUGCUACAGCCUUGGACUCCUGGGCUCAAGCCAUCCUCCUGCCUCAGCCUCCCCAUGUGGUGGCCUACAGGCACUACCUCAUGCCUGGCUAUGAAGUAAAUCUUAAAAGUGCCUAUGAGACUUUUAGGCAAGAAGAUCCGUAUCUCUUAUUCUCAACGGAGUUCCUAAUGAGGAAAUUAGGAACUGUUGUUUUAGAGGCUUAGGCAUAUCUGCUCACAUGUGGUGUCAGAGAUCAAUUUAUUAGUAAAAGGUUCUGGCAGAAGCUAAUGACUAAACAAAUGGCCCCUUCUGGAACAGUCCAGGUUCAAGGAGGCUGCUUUUAUUAUUAUUUUAUUAUUAUUUAUUUUUUUGGAGACGGAGUCUCACUCUGUCGCCCAGGCUGGAGUGCAGUGGCACGAUCUCAGCUCACUGCAACCUCCGCCUUCUGGGUUCAAGCGAUUCUCCUACCUCAGCCUCCUGAGUAGCUGGGACUAUGGGUGCACACUGCCACUCCUGGCUAAUUUUUUGUAUUUUAGUGGAGACAGGGUUUCACCAUGUUGCCCAGGCUGGUCUCGAACUCCUGAGGUCAGGCAAUCUGCCCUCCUCACCCUCCCAAAGUGCUAGGAUUACAGGCGUGAGCCACUGUGCCCAGCUAUUUUUUUUUUUUUUUUUUUUUGUGAGACAGAGUCUCACUCUCUCUCCCGGGCUGGCAUGCAGUGGCGUGAUCUCAGCUCACUGCAACCUCUGCCUUCCAGGUUCAAGCAAUUCUUCUGCCUCAGCCUCCUGAAUAGCUGGGAUUACAGGCAUGCGCCACCAUCCCUGGCUAAUUUUUGUAUUUGUAGUAGAGAUGAGGUUUCACUAUGUUGGCCAGGCUGGUCUCACACCCCUGAUCUCAGGUGAUCCGCCCACCUCAGCCUCCCAAAGUGCAAGGAUCACAGGCAUGAACCACCUCGCCUGGCCAGGCUGCUUUUAAAUAAUGUGCUUAAAGUCCCCUCAGCCAGGAGAGGUUGCAAGCUUAUGUAUUCUUAAACCACAGAGAAUCUCCAUGGAGCCAGGCUUUGUUCCUGGCAAGGCCACUGAGCAGAACCUAACCCAGCCCCUGCCAGAAAGGCGAGGGCCACCCAUACUCUUGGCCUGGAACUACCUACUCUGGUUUUUGGACACUUAAUUCUAGCACGUGUUUGCUCUCUUAAGCACCAGUGAGCCUUGGGGCUGCCUAAAUGUCAUCUGUGGCCUUGCUUUGGCUUCAGGAAACUGGUUACUAGCGUUAAUCUAGAGACUUAUUCCCAGCAUCUGUGAGCCUUGCUCCUUGAUCCCUGGGAGGGUAUUUGCCAAAAGGAGGGAAUCCCAGAGCCUACAGCAUAGUGCCCAGGGUCACAGACUGCCCCUACCAUGGAACUGCAUGCUUAGGUCCAGAGGGGCUGUGGCCUUGUGUGCUGGUUGGUCCCCACAUGUUGGGCCUCUUCCUUUUUUUAGCAUCUUCCUCUGUAUUUGCAUUUCUGAGCAGAGAGGUCUGACAGUCUUCUGCUUGGCUGUAUUCCCCCUUUCCCUCAGUCCCCAUAGUCCCCAAAAGACAAGGGCCUCAACCUACUGUGUCAUUUGUCUUAAUUCGCUAAUAGCGUGGCUCUGACAUGGGUGUGUAUCCUUACUUGUGCCCCCUUUCUUUCGUGUAAGCAAGACAAGUCUCCCUUGCUAUAGCGGUUGAUUUUUUCUAUUUUACUCCAGAGUCUUUCUCCAAAGCUGUUCCUAGGAGACUGCUAACCUACUGGUUCCUCUAGUACUGGGUAGAGGUGGAAUAAGGGCACAGAAGGAAGGGAAAGAGGUUGGAGAAACCUGCUCUAUUAAAGUGUCUGUUGCCGGGCCUGGUGGCUCACACCUGUAAUCCCAGCACUUUGGGAGGCCGAGGCGGGUGGA
rnacentral:lncRNA from 1 species